CCUACGGGUGGCAGCAGUGGGGGAUAUUGCACAAUGGGGGGAACCCUGAUGCAGCGACGCCGCGUGGGUGAAGGAGUGCUUCGGCAUGUAAAGCCCUAUCGGCACGGAAGAAGCAAGACGUUACCUGACUAAGAAGCCCCGACUAACUACGUGCCAGAAGCCGCGGUAAGACGUAGGGGGCGAGCGUUAUCCGGAUACACGGGGUGUAACGGGAGCGUAGACGGCCAAGCAAGCCAGGGGUGAAAGCCCGGGUCCCAACCUCGGGCCUGCCCGUGGAACUGCAUGGCUGGAGUGCGGGGGGGGCAGGCGGAAUGCCUGGUGUAGCGGUGAAAUGCGUAGAGAUCAGGAGGAACACCGGCGGCGAAGGCGGCCUGCUGGACCGCGACUGACGUUGAGGCUCGAAAGCGUGGGGAGCGAACAGGAUUAGAUACCCCGGUAGUC
rnacentral:rRNA from 1 species